rnacentral:lncRNA from 1 species
CCUAGGCUAAGAGAGGAGGGAGGCCCGCCCUUAUAAGUGCAACACGACCCCCUUGGCUAGGCGAGGUGGUACUAACCCAGGGCGUGCAUACCGGUCCCUUACAUCCCACCCCCCUAAGAGGCCCAAAGCUCUUCCAGGCAGCAGCGGCAAUGUAGGCUCCGAUACCAAUUGUAACGCACCCACUGGGCCAGUCCGCCUAAAGCCCACCAUCGCCAGCGUCGGACGUUCAUGCGCUCGUGCGCAGCCUAUUCAGACGGGCACCUCGCUCUCAAAACCUAGGCUGAGAGAGGAGGGAGGCCCGCCCUUAUAAGUGCAACACGACCCCCUUGGCUAGGCG